rnacentral:rRNA from 1 species
AUGUCGACAGGUAGCAGCCGUGCCCCUCCUCCUCGCCUUCUCUGCUCCCCUCCUCCUCUCCAAUCUAGGUUGCGCAUUUGCGUCCUCGGCAUCUUACUUUCCCAGUUUUUUACUCCUUUGAUUUUCCGAUUAUCGGAUAAUCUAAUUCAAUUUCUAAGUUUCUGGUUACUUGUGAUGAGUAGAAGAAGAAUUUUGAUGAAGGAUUUGAUAAAGAAGAACAGGCGGCAUUCAGGUCUCCUACUAAAGCUCCUCGCCGGCGUGGCCACUCUCCCCUCCAACUGCAGGCUGAGACAAAAUAUUGGCAAGCAUUACCAUUAUGAUCCUCCAUCGAUCAUCAUGGUUGAAGGAAAAUGUAUUAGGCAUGGUAUUUUCAAGCUAAGUAUACCAGCAGCCGAUGCUGGACCUCCUGAUGCAUAUAGUUUGCAUAUUUCUAUUCAUCCAAUUCCUUCAUCCAUUUUUCCUUAUUUUUCUGUUCGCUCAUUUAUUCUAGCAUAUUCCUAUCAGUAUUUUUCAGCUGAAGGAUAUAUGCUCUGA